rnacentral:rRNA from 1 species
CAGUCGCCGCGGUAAUACGUAGGUGGCAAGCGUUGUCCGGAUUUAUUGGGCGUAAAGCGAGCGCAGGCGGUCAAUUAAGUCUGACGUGAAAGCCCCCGGCUCAACCGGGGAGGGUCAUUGGAAACUGGUUGACUUGAGUGCAGAAGAGGAGAGUGGAAUUCCAUGUGUAGCGGUGAAAUGCGUAGAUAUAUGGAGGAACACCAGUGGCGAAGGCGACUCUCUGGUCUGUAACUGACGCUGAGGCUCGAAAGCGUGGGUAGCAAACAGAAUUAGAUACCCCAGUAGUCCCUGUCUCUUAUAC